rnacentral:rRNA from 1 species
UAAGGAAUAUUGGUCAAUGGACGCAAGUCUGAACCAGCCAUGCCGCGCGAAGGAUGAAGGUCUUCGGGUUGUAAACUGCUUUUGUACGGAACGAAAAGGUGCCUUCUAAUAAAGGGCGCUCAUGACGGUACCGUAAGAAUAAGCACCGGCUAACUACGUGCCAGCAGCCGCGGUAAUACGUAGGGUGCGAGCGUUAAUCGGAAUUACUGGGCGUAAAGCGUGCGCAGGCGGUUUUGUAAGACAGAGGUGAAAUCCCCGGGCUCAACCUGGGACCGGCCUUUGUGACUGCAAGGCUGGAGUGCGGCAGAGGGGGAUGGAAUUCCGCGUGUAGCCGUGAAAUGAGUGGAUAUGCGGAGGAACACCGAUGGCGAAGGCAAUCCCCUGGGCCUGCACUGACGCGCAUGCACGAAAGCGUGGGGAG